GACGAACGCUGGCGGCGCGCCUAACACAUGCAAGUCGAACGAGAGAUGAGGAGCUUGCUCUUCAGAUCGAGUGGCGAACGGGUGAGUAACGCGUGAGGAACCUGCCUCAAAGAGGGGGACAACAGUUGGAAACGACUGCUAAUACCGCAUAAGCCCACGGCUCGGCAUCGAGCAGGGGGAAAAGGAGCAAUCCGCUUUGAGAUGGCCUCGCGUCCGAUUAGCUAGUUGGUGAGGUAACAGCCCACCAAGGCGACGAUCGGUAGCCGGACUGAGAGGUUGAACGGCCACAUUGGGACUGAGACACGGCCCAGACUCCUACGGGAGGCAGCAGUGGGGAAUAUUGCACAAUGGGGGAAACCCUGAUGCAGCGACGCCGCGUGGAGGAAGAAGGUCUUCGGAUUGGUAAACUCCCUGUUGUUGAGGAAGAUAAUGGCGGUACUCAACAAGGAAGUGACGGCUAAACUACGUG
rnacentral:rRNA from 1 species